GAGGCGGGCCACGGCACUGAAUGUAAACUGCACUCUUGUUUAGAGUUGCAGUUCCUUCUCAAACCUGAGAGGCAGAGAUGCGCUAAAGUAGUAUGUAGCCCGCAAAAAAAAAAGGCGCGAAGAAGAAGAAGUUUGAGCAGGUGAACCUACAGGUGAAACAAACUGUUUUUCUACAGUCAGUCUAUGGAAGCAACACGUCUCUGGAGCGUCGUCGUGAAAGAUAGUCACAUGUGGAUGGUAAAGAUGAAAGACCCUCAACAUCACAUACACAUCAGGGUGUGUCCAGUGCUGACAAUCCAUAGGUUCCUGCAGGCCAUGCACAGGGGGAUAGUGGUGUGGCAGCCCCAUUUGGCGGGCUCGGACCUAUUGGUAUGUCUUAACAAUUCAUUUUUCAUAUGAAGUAUAAUAUGCUUAAUAUUUUAGGCACAUUUUAUUAUCAUUCUAAUGACAACCUAUUUGUUAUUGCAGAGUCAAAUGAAGA